rnacentral:rRNA from 1 species
GACGAACGCUGGCGGCGUGCCUAACACAUGCAAGUCGAACGGAAAGGCGAGGAGCUUGCGCGGUGCGCGAGAGGCGAACGCGUGAGUAUCACGUGUGUAACAUGCGCUUGACAUUGGGAUAACAUCAUGAGAAACGGGCUAUAACCGCGCAGGAGCUCCUGCUGCACGUGGGGGGUAGGAGAGAUUCGGCGUUUGUGGAUGGACGUGCGGCUCAUCAGCUUGUUGGUGGGGUAGUGGCUUACUAAGGCUCCGACGGGUAGCCGGCCUGAGAGGGUGACCGGCCACAGUGGGCUAGGGAAAGGGGCAGGAGGGCAACGGGGGGCAGCGGGGGAGAAUAUAGCACGAUGGGCGGAGGGCGGAUGCAGCAAUGCCGCGUGCGGGAUGACGGUCUUCGGGUUGUAACCCGCUUUCGCCUGUGACGAAGAGUGAGUGACGGUAAUGGGUAAAGAAGCACCGGCUAACUACGUG